CUUAGUACGGCGAGUGAGCGGUAAAAGCUCAAAUUUGAAAUCUGGUACUUUCAGUGCCCGAGUUGUAAUUUGUAGAAUUUGUCUUUGAUUAGGUCCUUGUCUAUGUUCCUUGGAACAGGACGUCAUAGAGGGUGAGAAUCCCGUUUGGCGAGGAUACCUUUUCUCUGUAAGACUUUUUCGAAGAGUCGAGUUGUUUGGGAAUGCAGCUCAAAGUGGGUGGUAAAUUCCAUCUAAAGCUAAAUAUUGGCGAGAGACCGAUAGCGAACAAGUACAGUGAUGGAAAGAUGAAAAGAACUUUGAAAAGAGAGUGAAAAAGUACGUGAAAUUGUUGAAAGGGAAGGGCAUUUGAUCAGACAUGGUGUUUUUUGCAUGCACUCGCCUCUCGUGGGCUUGGGCCUCUCAAAAAUUUCACUGGGCCAACAUCAAUUCUGGCAGCAGGAUAAAUCAUUAAGAAUGUAGCUACUUCGGUAGUGUUAUAGCUUUUUGGAAUACUGUUAGCCGGGAUUGAGGACUGCGCUUCGGCAAGGAUGUUGGCAUAAUGGUUAAAUGCCGCCCGUCU
rnacentral:rRNA from 1 species